rnacentral:lncRNA from 1 species
UCCAAGCAAAACACAUAUCAUGUGACGAAUAAAAAUAUAGCUCCGAGUAAGUUAUACCGAUAGUUUUGAAGACGAAAGAGGGGAUGCCUUCCGGGGCAUCCCCAAGCUUAGGUACUUGAGUAUUCCUUGAAUAUUACCUUGGGGUGCCUUGGGCAUCCCCAAGAUUAGGGUCUUUCCACUCCUUAUUCUCCUCAUAUCGAUAUCUCACCCAAAGCUUGAAAACUUCAAUCACACAAAACUUAACAAAACUUCAUGAGAUAGGUUAGGAUGAUAAAGAGUAAACUAUUCACUUUGGUACUGUUAAGGACAAGUUUCAUAAUUGUUCUCACACAAUUCCUACUGUACCAUACCAUUUCUAAAAUUUAUAUUGAGAAAUAUAAGCCAUAGAAACUAGAAAACAAGCAAACUAUGCAAUGAAAACAGAAUCUGUCAGAAACAGAACAGUCUGUAAAGAUCUGAACAGCAACCAUACUUCUGUUACUCCAAAAAUUAUGAAAUAAAUUGGUGGACGUUAGGAAUUUCUCUAUUAAUCUUCUGCAAAAAGAAUCAACUCAAAAUCACUCUUCUGUAAAAAAUGGCAGCUAAUCUCGUGAGCGCAAAGUUUCUGUUUUUUACAGCAAGAUCACAUUAACUUUCACCCAAGUCUUCCCAAAGGUCUUACUUUGAACUUUAUUGAAACAAAAGCUAUAAAACAUGAUUGCUACAGUAGCUUAAUCAUGUAAACACACAAAAACAGUAAGGGUAGAUAUUGGGUUGUCUCCCAACAAGAGCUUUUCUUUAGUGCCUUUUAGCUAGGCAUGAUGAUUUCAAUGAUGCUCACAUAAAAGAAAAGAAUUGAAACAUAAAGAGAGCAUCAUGAAGAAUAUGACUAGCACAUUUAAAUCUAACCCACUUCCUAUGCCUAGGGAUUUUGUGAGCACAUAAUUUAUAGGAACAAGAAUCAACUAGCAUAGGAAGGCAAAACAAGUAUAACUUCAAAACUUUAAGCACAUAGAGAGGAAACUUGAUAUUAUUGCAACUCCUACAAGCAUAUAUUCCCCCUCAUAAUAUUUUUCAGUAGCAUCAUGAAUGAAUUCAUCAAUAUAACCAUCACAUAAAGCAUUCUUUUCAUGAUCUACAAGCAUAGAGAAUUUCUACUCUCCACAUAAGCAAAAUUCUUCUCAUUCCGGAUAGUGGGGUCACUAAUUCCUAAAGUUGACACUGUUCCAAAGCCGCUUUAGAUGAUAGUAUUAUUCAUACUCCAAAAGAUAUAAGUGAAGUUCAUGGAUCAUUCUACAAUUAAUAUAGACUAACCAAUAUCCAAGCUCAAAAUAUAUAAGUGAAGCACACGAAGCAUUCUAUAAAACCAUACUCAAAAGAUUUAAGUGAAGCACAAAGAGCAUUCUAUAAGGUCAUACUCAAAACAUAUAAGUGAAGCACAUGAAUCAUUCUAUAAAUUGAUGAAGGUACAUAUCAUACUAGCAUGGUACUUAAAGAAAAAGAAAAACACAAAGGACACAAAUCAUGUGAACAAAACAAAAACCGAGGUAUGCCGAUAAUUGUUGAAGAAGAAAGAUGGGAUGCCAACCGGGGCAUCCCCAAGCUUAGAUGCUUGAGUAUCCUUGGAAUAUUUACUUGGGGUGCCUUGGGCAUCCCCAGGCUUUAACUCUUCCCUCUCUUUAUUCUUAUCACAUCGGUAACUCCUCGUUCUUCGAACACUUCAUCCACAAAAACUUAACAAAUAUUUUGUGAGAUCCGUUAGUAUACUAAAGCAAAUCACUACCUUUAGGUACUGUUGCACACUCAUUCCAAUUUCAUAUUAGCACUUUAUCUACUGUAUUCCAACUUCACCAUGGUUCAUACCCCCCGAUACUACCCAUAGAUUCAUCAAAAUAAGCGAUCAACACAUAGAAAACAGAAUCUGUCAAAAACAGGACAGUCUGUAGUAAUCUGGAAGUUUAGUAAACUUAUGUAACUCCAAACAAUUCUAAAAAAAUAUGAAAAUUUAAUUUUUUUUACAGAAUUAAUGUGCAAAAAGUUUCAGACCCAUUUGACUUUCCAGUAAAAAAUGUAAAUUCACGCACUACAGCCAAAGUUUUUGUUUUUGUACUGCACAUAGUAAACAAGCAAUCUAAUCAUCCUAAAACCAAAGCUUGGCACAUUAUUUUAAUAAUACAAUGGAUAUAUACAAGGGGAUAAUUAUUUUCAGACAAGCUUCCAUGAAAUUUUUUACAUUGUUUCCAUGAGCAUGAACACAAGUGUUCAAGGUCGACCCUCACUUCUCCAAUGCAUAACCUUCCAAUCACUUCUCUUAUUGAAAAACUUUUUAGGCAUGAGAGGCAAGUCAAUUUUUUUUGUAUUUUCAUUAUUAAUUUUUUUGCAUGUUUCACCCACAACUAAACAGAAACAAAAGGAAAAAAAAUCUACUUAGUGAAGAAAGCAAACAAGCACACACGAGAAUAUCAACCCCACGCUAUUGCUCCCCGGCAACGGCGCCAGAAAAGAGCUUGAUAAUACCCAAGUGCAGGGAAUCAUCGUAGCAAUUCCCAAUGGUGGAAUUGAUAAGUAUGGAGUGUCGAAACCACAAGGAGCUAAAGGUAAAAUCAAUAUUCUCUCAAGUCCUAUCUGCCACUGAUACGACUCCACGUACACCGAACGUUUGCUUCCAACUAGAAACGAGAAAUAAAACUACGUUGUGGGUAUGAAGAGGAUAACUUUGCAUGAUACCGGAGAGCUAAAACAUAAAAGUAGGUGCUGUUAUCAUAAAGUUAGAAUAUAUUACUAAAUAUUAUAAAUAGCGAGUGUGGAAUAAUGAUGGGUCGGUGUGCGGAAUUAUCCUAGGCAAUUGUUAAAAAGACCGGUAGUCGUCAUUGCAAUUUCACACGAGGGAGAGGCAUAAGCUAGCAUACUUUCUCUUCUUGGAUCAUAUGCACUUAUGAUUGGAACUCUAGCAAGCAUCCGCAACUACUAAAGAUCAUUAAGGUAAAACCCAACAAUAGUAUUAAAGCAUCAAGUCCCCUUUAUCCCAUACGCAACAACCCCCUUACUCGGGUUUAUGCUUCUGUCACUCAAGCAACCCACUAUAAGCGGAUCAUGAACGUAUUGCAACACCCUACAGCGGGAAUCCCUCACGCUUGUGCGACACGGAGGGCACAAUAGGAGAGAACCAAAUAAAACAUACAACUUGUACCAAUCUAGAUCAUCAAUCGACCCAAAGACAAAGGAUAUCUACUCAAAACAUCAUAGGAUGGAAACACAUCAUUGGAUCAUAAUAUGUGGCAUAAAGCACCAUGUUCAAGUAGGGAUUACAGCGGGGUGCGGGAGAGUGGACCACCUAAAAUAGAUGAGGAUGGUGAUGUUGAUGAAGACGAUCACCGCGGCGAUGAUUCCCCUCCCGGUGGCACUCCGGUGCCACCGAGAGAGAGGGGGAGAGGUUCUCCCCCUUGUGCUUCCUCCUCCAUGGCCUCCCCCUAGAUGGGGAGAGAUUCUCCUCCCCUAGUCCAUGGCCUUCAUGGCGAUGAUGGCCCCUCCGGCAAGGUGCUAGAGAGGGCCUAGAUUGAUUUCUCGUGGCUACAGAGGCUUGCGGCGGCGGAACUUCCGAUCUAGGUUAAUUUUUUGAGGUUUCUGUAUUUAUACGAAUUUUUUUGCGUCGGUCUCACGUCAAGGAGGUGCCCGAGCUAUCCGCGAGGUAGGCCCACACGCCCAGGGGGGUGGGGGCGCCCCCCACCCUCGUGGGCAGCUCGGGACUCUUCUGGCCCAACUCCGAUGCUCCGUGGUCUUCUUUUGGCCCAUAAAAAAUCAUCAAAAUUGGCACGUCAAUUUGACUCCGUUUGGCAUUCCUUUUCUGCAAAACUCAAAAACAAGGAGAAAACAGAAACUGGCACUGGGCUCUAGGUUAAUAGGUUAGUCCCAAAAUCAUAUAGGGGGAGAGGUUCUCCUCCCCUAGUCCAUGGCCUUCAUGGUGAUGAUGGUGAUAACCCACAAGUAUAGGGGAUCAGUUGUAGCCUCUUUCGAUAAGUAAGAGUGUCGAACCCAACGAGGAGCUAAAGUUAGAAAAAAUAUUCCCUCAAGUUCUAUCGACCACCGAUACAAAUCUACGCACGCUUAACGUUCGCUUUACCUAGAACAAGUAUGAAACUAGAAGUACUUUGUAGGUGUUUUUGGAUAGGUUUGCAAGAUAAUAAAUAGCGCGUAAAUAAAAAGUAGGGGCUGUUUAGAUAAAGACACAACUAAAUUAGUUUUAGUAGGGAGCUUUUUGUUACGAGAAAGUUAUUUGUCCCUAGGCAAUCGAUAGCUAGACCGGUAAUCACUAUUGCAAUUUUAUUUGAGGGAGAGGCAUAAGCUAACAUACUUUCUCUACUUGGAUCAUAUGCACUUAUGAUUGGAACUCUAGCAAGCAUCCGCAACUACUAAAGAUCAUUAAGGUAAAACCCAACCAUAGCAUUAAAGCAUCAAGUCCCCUUUAUCCCAUACGCAAACAACCUACUUACUCGGGUCUGUGCUUCUGUCACUCACGCCAACCCACCAUAAGCAAAUCAUGAACAUAUUGCAAACCCUACAGCGGGAAUCCCUCACGCUUGCGCGACACGGAGAGCACCAUAGGACAACACCAAUAAUAAAACAUGCAACAAACCAAUCUUGAUCAUCAAAUAACCCAUAGGACAAAACAGAUCUACUCAAACAUCAUAGGAUAGCCAUACAUCAUUGGGAAAUAAUAUAUAGCGUGGAGCACCAUGUUUAAGUAGAGAUUACAGCGGGUAAGAGAGAGGUUACACCGCUGCAUAGAGGGCGGAAGAGUUGGUGAUGAUGGCGGUGAAGUUGUUGGUGAAGAUUGCGGUGAUGAUGACGGCCCCCGGUGGCACUCCGGCGUGGGAGGGGCGAGAGCCCCUCCGAGAUUGGAUCUUUCUCUCCGUCUCUCUCUGUUUCUACGUUCACCUUUGCUGCCCUUUCACCGUUUCAUAUAUAUAUGGAGAUCCGUAACUCCGAUUGGACUGAAACCUUCGCCGUGAUUUUUUUAACCAAAAUUUAGCUUUCCUGCGGCCGAAGAAGGGCAUCAACCGCCUUACGGGUGGCCCACGAGGGUCAGGGGCGCGACCAGGCGGCAGGGGCGCCCCUGCCUCGUGGCCACCUCGGGCACCGUCUCGCGUGGAUUUUUCUUCCGGAAUUUUCCAAAUAUUCCAAAAAUAUGCUCCGUCCGUUUUUAUCCCGUUUGGAUUCCGUUUGAUAUGGAUAUUCUGUGAAACAUAAAACAUGCAACAAAGUGGAACUGGGACUGGGCACUGGAUCAAUAUGUUAGUCCCAAAAAUAGUAUAAAAAGUUGCCAAAAAGUAUAUGAAAGUUGAAUAAUAUUGGCAUCGAACAAUCAAAAAUUAUAGAUACGACAGAGACGUAUCAGCAUCCCCAAGCUUAAUUCCUGCUCGUCCUCGAGUAGGUAAAUGAUAAAAAAGAUAAUUUUUGAUGUGGAAUGCUACCUAGCAUAAUCUUGAUCAUAUGUAUAAUCAUGGCAUGAACAUUAAGACACGAGUGAUUCAAAGCAAUAGUCUAUCCUUUGACAUAAAAACAAUAAUACUUCAAGCAUACCAACCAAGCAAUUAUGUCUUAUUGAAAUAACAUAGCCAAAGAAAGCUCAUCCCUACAAAAUCAUAUAGUCUGGCUAUGCUCCAUCUUCACCACACAAAAUAUUCACAUCAUGCACAACCCCGAUGACAAGCCAAGCAAUUGUUUCAUACUUUUGACGUUUCUCAAACCUUUUCAACUUUCACGCAAUACAUGAGCGUGAGCCAUGGACAUAGAACUAUAGGUGGAAUAGAAUAUGAUGAUGGGGGUUAUGUGGAGAAGACAAAAAAAGGAGAAAGUCUCACAUCGACGCGGCUAAUCAACGGGCUAUGGAGAUGCCCAUCAAUUGAUGUCAAUGUGAGGAGUAGGGAUUGCCAUGCAACAGAUGCACUAGAGCUAUAAGUGUAUGAAAGCUCAAACUGAAACUAAGUGGGUGUGCAUCCAACUUGCUUGCUCAUGAAGACCUAGGGCAUUUGAGGAAGCCCAUCGUUGGAAUAUACAAGCCAAGUUCUAUAAUGAAAAUUCCCACUAGUAUAUGAAAGUGAUAACUCAAGAGACUCUUUAUGAAGAACAUGGUGCUACUUUGAAGCACAAGUGUGGUAAAAGGAUAGUAACAUUGCCCCUUCUCUCUUUUUCUCUCAUUUUUUUGUUUUCUUUUGUUUUCUCUUUUUUUGGGCCUUCUCUUUUUUUUUGGCCUUUCUCUCUUUUUUUAUUUUUUUAUUUUUUAUUUUUUCGUCCGGAGUCUCAUCCCGACUUGUGGGGGAAUCAUAGUCUCCAUCAUCCUUUCCUCACUGGGGCAAUGCUCUAAUAAUGAUGAUCAUCACACUUUUAUUUACUUACAACUCAAUAUUACAACUCGAUAUCUAGAACAAAGAUAUGACUCUAUAUGAAUGCCUCCGGCGGUGUACUGGGAUGUGCAAUGAUCUAGCGUAGCAAUGACAUCAAAAAAGGACAAGCCAUGAAAACAUCAUGCUAGCUAUCUUACGAUCAUGCAAAGCAAUAUGAGAAUAAAUGCUCAAGUCAUGUAUAUGAUGAUGAUGGAAGUUGCAUGGCAAUAUAUCUCGGAAUGGCUAUGGAAAUGCCAUGAUAGGUAGGUAUGGUGGCUGUUUUGAGGAAGAUAUAAUGAGGCUUAUGUGUGAUAGAGCGUAUCGUAUCACGGGGUUUGGAUGCACCGGCGAAGUUUGCACCAACUCUCGAGGUGAUAAAGGGCAAUGCACGGUACCGAAGAGGCUAGCAAUGAUGGAAGGGUGAGAGUGCGUAUAAUCCAUGGACUCAACAUUAGUCAUAAAGAACUCACAUACUUAUUGCAAAAGUCUAUUAGCUAUCGAAACAAAGUACUAUGCGCCUGCUCCUAGGGGGAUAGAUUGGUAGGAAAAGACAAUCGCUCGUCCCCGACCGCCACUCAUAAGGAAGACAAUCAGUAAACACCUGAUGCUCCAACUUCGUUACAUAACGGUUCACCAUACGUGCAUGCUACGGGACUUGCAAACCUCGACACAAGUAUUUCUCAAUUUCAAAAUUACUCAACUAGCACGACUCUAAUAUCACCACCUUUAUAUCGCUAAACUAUUGCAAGGAAUCAAACAUAUCAUAUUCAGUGAUCUACAAGUUUUAUGUAGGGUUUUAUGACUAACCAUGUCAAUGACCAGUUCCUGUCAUCUCUCUAAAUAGGUAUAAGUGAAGCACGAGAGUUUAAUUCUUUCUACAAAAGAUAUGCCCAUGCUCUAACAAAUAUAAGUGAAGCUAAAGAGCAUUCUACAAAUGGCGGUUGUCUAUGUAAAGAGAAACAGGCAAUCCAAGCUUCAAAUGAUAUAAGUGAAGCACAUGAAGCAUUCUAUAAAGCCAUCCUCAAAAGAUAUAAGUGAAGUGCAAUGAGCAUUCUAUAAAUCAACCAAGGACUAUCUCAUACCAGCAUGGUGCAUAAAAUAAAAGUGAAAACUAAAUGCAAAAGACGCUCCAAGAUUUGCACAUAUCACAUGAAUGAAACGAAUCCGAAAACAUACCAAUAUUUGUUGAAGAAAGAGGGGAUGCCUUCCGGGGCAUCCCCAAGCUUAGACGCUCGAGUCUCCUUGAAUAUUUACUUGGGGUGCCUCGGGCAUCCCCAAGCUUGAGCUCUUGCCUCUCUUCCUUCUUCUCAGAUCGAAACCUUCUCGAUCAUCGAACACUUCAUCCACACAAAACUUCAACAGAAAACUCGGCAAGAUCCAUUAGUAUAAUAAAGUAAAUCAUUAGUCUAAGUACUGUUGGAAACCAAUUCAUAUUUUGUUUUUGCAUUGUGUCUACUGUAAUAUAACUUUUUCAUGGCUUAAUCCACUGAUAUAAAUUGAUAGUUUCAUCAAAACAAGCAAACUAUGCAUCAAAAACAGAAUCUGUCUAAAACAGAACAAUCUGUAAUAAUCUGAACAUUCACCAUACUUCUGAUACUUGAAAAAUUCUGCACAAAUUAGGAAAAAUAAACAAUUUUUAUAGAAAGACAGUGCAAAAAUAAUCAGAACCAUUUGACGUUCCAGUAAAAAAUUAAAUAUCUCGCACUACAGCCAAAGUUUCUGUCCUGCACCGUACAAACCAACAAGUAUUGUAAACAUCCUAAAGGCAAACCUUGGCACAUUAUUUUUAUAAUACAAUGGAAUUGUACAAGGGGAUAAUUAUUUUUGUUGAAAAUUUUCUGUAAUCAAGAUUCACAAAGUUGCCGUGAGCAUGAACAAAGUUCAGGGAGCUCUCCCACUUCAACAAUGCUUGUCUUUCACACUUUCACUUUCCUUUUUGAAAAGUUUUGGGUUCCCCUCUUUAUUUUUGUUGUUUUUAAACUAUAUGAAAGCACACAACAGAAAUAAAUGACUCUCUAAAACUUCCGGGUUGUCUCCCUGGCAGCGCUUUCUUUAAAGCCAUUAAGCUAGGCAUAUUGGGCUCAAGUAAUGGAUCCACCUGGAUCCCAAGGUAUAUCAAAGCCAAUUUUAAUUAACACUCAUUUGUAAUUUAGUAGUGAGCACAAAGUAACAUAUAUCACGCAAUGACGAAGUCUAACUCUCUUCCUAUGCAUCGGCAUGUCAUAAAAGAACAAUUCAUGCACGCAAAGUAAAGGCCAAUGCAUAGUAUAAGCAGUUUCUUGCAAUUCUAUCAUGUUGGAAACAUAAAGAGGCGGAGAUGUAGUUCCUCUCUCAUAAUAAUUGCAAGUAGGAGCAGCAAGCACAUGCAUAUUAUAUCUAUCAAAAUUAUCAUGUGCAAUGGUAAAAGGCAACCCAUCAAUAUAAUCCUUAAUAAGCACAAACUUCUCCGAUAUAGUGUAGUUGGGAGAAUUGAAAAAGAUAAUAGGACUAUCAUGCGUGGGUGCAAUAGCAACAAUUUCAUGUUUAACAUAAGGAACCAUAGCAAGUUCAUCUCCAUAAGCAUAAUUCAUAUUGGCUUCUUGGCCACAAGCAUAGCAAGCAUCAUCAAAAAGGGAUAUUUCAAGAGAAUCAACGGGAUCAUAAAAGUCAUCAUAACAAUCAUCCUUCGGUAAGCACGAAGGGAAAUUAAACAAUGUAUGAGUUGAAGAGUUACUCUCAUUAAAAGGUGGGCACGGGUAGCUAAUCCGCUCUUCCUCCUUUUGUUCUUCGCUCUCCUCAUCAUCUUUUUCAUCCAAUGAGCUCACAGUUUCAUCAAUUUCUUCUUCCAUAGAUUCCUGCAAAAUAUUAGUCUCUUCUUGGACAGCGCAGACUUUCUCAAUGAGUGCAUUAAUAUGGGAAUUGUAUUCAUACUUCUCAUAGAAAUAUUUGAGGAUAGCAAAAUUUUCAGGUCUAUAAGCAGCAUCAUCAAAAUCUUCAAACUCUUUAAACAUAGAUUCAAUUUCAUAAGCACCCAUAAAAGCAACAAAUUCUUCUAUUUGUUCCACAUCAUAGUAAUCAUAUAUACCAUUAGCAUAAGAAGCUAAGGUUUUAUUAUCAUUAAAUUUGCAUGAAAACGGAAGGUGUGGAGCCUUCAUCCUAGAGCAACAAGUAUAAUCAAAACUCAAGCAUAGUUGCCUAGCAUACCACUUCAAUAUAUGAAUUUGACCCCAUAAUAGUUUCCCUUUUUAAGUCAAGCGAUAAUCCCUAAAGUAUUCACGUUGAUCCAACAUUACUCCCAUUACAUAGUUGAAUGGGGUUUUCUCAGGAUUAUCAAAGUAGUACAUAAUAUCUUUCACAUAACCAGCAUUGAGGGUUUUAGGAGGUUCCCCAUCUCCAUGAGCAGCAAGUACACCUAAUGUUUUUGGUAUUUCGUGUUCCAUAUCCAUGACUAAAGAUAGAGAACAACUAAGAACAGCAAAUAAAAAUUACUUAGUGAUAAAGCAAACAAGCACACACGAGAAUAUUCACCCCACGCUAUUGCUCCCCGGCAACGGCGCCAGAAAAAGAUCUUGAUAACCCACAAAUAUAGGGGAUCAGUUGUAGACUCUUUCGAUAAGUAAGAGUGUCGAACCCAACGAGGAGCUAAAGGUAGAACAAAUAUUCCCUCAAGUUCUAUCGACCACCGAUACAACUCUACGCACGCUUAACGUUCGCUUUACAUAGAACAAGUAUGAAACUAGAAGUACUUUGUAGGUGUUUUCGGAUAGGUUUGCAAGAUAAUAAAGAGCGGGUAAAUAAAAAGUAGGGGCUGUUUAGAUAAAGACACAACUAAAUUAGUUUUAGUAGGGAGCUUUUUGUUACGAGAAAGUUAUUUGUCCCUAGGCAAUCGAUGACUAGACCGGUAAUCAUUCUUGCAAUUUUAUUUGAGGGAGAGGCAUAAGCUAACAUACUUUCUCUACUUGGAUCAUAUGCACUUAUGAUUGGAAUUCUAGCAAGCAUCCGCAACUACUAAAGAUCAUUAAGGUAAAACCCAACCGUAGCAUUAAAGCAUCAAGUCCCCUUUAUCCCAUACGCAAACAACCUACUUACUCGGGUCUGUGCUUCUGUCACUCACGCCACCCACCAUAAGCAAAUCAUGAACAUAUUGCAAACCCUACAGCGGGAAUCCCUCACGCUUGCGCGACACGGAGAGCACCAUAGGACAGCACCAAUAAUAAAACAUGCAACUCAAACCAAUCUUGAUCAUUAAAUAACCCAUAGGACAAAACGGAUCUACUCAAACAUCACAGGAUAGCCAUACAUCAUUGGGAAAUAAUAUAUAGCGUGGAGCACCUUGUUUAAGUAGAGAUUACAGCGGGUAAGAGAGAGGUUACACCGCUGCAUAGAGGGGGGAAGAGUUGGUGAUGAUGGCAGUGAAGUUGUUGGUGAAGAUUGUGGUGAUGAUGAUGGCCCCCGGUGGGACUCCGACGUGGGAGGGGCGAGAGGCCCUCCGAGAUUGGAUAUUUCUCUCCGUCUCUCUGUUUCUGCGUUCUCCUCUGCUGCCCUUUCACCGUUUCGUAUAUAUAUGGAGAUCCGUAACUCCGAUUGGACUAAAACCUUCGCCGUGAUUUUUUUUACCAAAAAUUAGCUUUCUUGCGACCGAAGAAGGGCAUCAACCGCCUUACGGGUGGCGCACGAGGGUCAGGGGCGCGCCCAGGGGGGCAAGGGCGCCCCCCUGCCUCGUGGCCACCUCGGGCACCAUCUCGCGUGGAUUUUUCUUCCGAAAUUUUCCAAAUAUUCCAAAAAUAAGCUCCAUACAUUUUUAUCUCGUUUGGAUUCUGUUUGAUAUGGAUAUUCUGCGAAACAUAAAACAUGCAACAAACAGGAACUGGCACUGGGCACUGGAUCAAUAUGUUAGUCCCAAAAAUAGUAUAAAAAGUUGCCAAAAAGUAUAUGAAAGUUGAAUAAUAUUGGCAUGGAACAAUCAAAAAUUAUAGAUACGACGGAAACGUAUUAGAUGGCCCCUCCGAGAUCCUCCUCCAUGGCCUCCGGUGAUGAUGGCCCCCUCCGGCAGGGUGCCAGAGAGGGCCUAGAUUGAUUUCUCGUGGCUACAGAGGCUUGCGGCGGCAGAACUUCCGAUCUAGGUUAAUUUUCCAAGGUUUCAGUAUUUAUAGGAAUUUUUGGCGUCGGUCUCACGUCAAGGAGGUGCCCGAGCUGUCCACGAGGCAGGCCCACGCGCCCAGGGGGUGGGCGCGCCCCCCACCCUCGUGGGCAGCUCGGGACUGUUCUGGCCCAACUCCGAUGCUCUGUGGUCUUCUUUUGGUCCAUAAAAAAUCAUCAAAAAUUGGCACGUCAAUUGGACUCCGUUUGGUAUUCCUUUUCUGCAAAACUCAAAAACAAGGAGAAAACAGAAACUGGCACUGGGCUCUAGGUUAAUAGGUUAGUCCCAAAAAUCAUAUAAAAUAGCAUAUAAAUGCAUAUAAAACAUCUAAGAUGGAUAAUAAUAUCAUGAAUACUUCAUAAAUUAUAGAUACGUUGGAGACGUAUCACUUUCCGAGGCACACCGAUCGAUAAACCUCUCCAGCGAUGUCUGCCUACAACAUACACACGCACCUUCAAUCUCCUCCUUUAUGUGUCCUUGCCUCGUGUCUCUCAUACGGUCCCACACACGUGUAAACUCUCGCCCCUCUUUUCAUCGAUCUCACAACCGCACACUCCUCCCCCUAUCUAGCUAGUAUCUGGGCCUCUCGCACCACCUCCUAGCUCCAUUCUCUCUGUCUAUCUGUCUCGCCGGGCCUUAUUUGCCUCUAACAAAUGGACGUACACCGACCGAUCUCCCGCUAUACAUAUAACUAGCUAGGUCCUUAUAACUCGUUUUUCCCCACGCGUCGAUCGAUCUACCUCAUUAGUUAUGUCUCUCCCUUCCUCCGACAAACAACAAUUGAUCUACCGAUCUAGUUAGGUUUGCUUACCAAACACAUGGUUCCCCUUCAUCAUCCAUGGAUGUGUCCCGACAGAUCUAUCACGCACAGGCACACACAGAAACACAUCCCCACUCUUAUUGAUAAUAUUGCAGUUCCACCCUUAGUUUGUCUAGUAGGCCUCUCCCACCAUCUUCGAGAAGCAACUCCAUCACCCAUCCAGCACUCUACCCCUCUCCCUCCCUCUCUCUCUCCUCUCUCUCUCUCUCUCUCUCUCUCUCUGUGUGUGUGUGUGCCGUCCUAUUUCCCGUCCUUCAGUUAUGUAUGGAUGUCGACCGAUCUCCCUCAAGACAAGCUGGGUCUCUCCUUCUCAACACAUAUACGAGUCGUUCUACCUCUAUAGUUAGGCCUCUGCCUACCCCUCCCCCCACCCCCUCCCACACACACACACCGAUACAUCGAGCGCUCUAGUCAUGUUUCCCUGCCACACACAAACUUGACCUAUGCCCUCUGACGUUCCGNNNNNNNNNNNNNNNNNNNNNNNNNNNNNNNNNNNNNNNNNNNNNNNNNNNNNNNNNNNNNNNNNNNNNNNNNNNNNNNNNNNNNNNNNNNNNNNNNNNNNNNNNNNNNNNNNNNNNNNNNNNNNNNNNNNNNNNNNNNNNNNNNNNNNNNNNNNNNNNNNNNNNNNNNNNNNNNNNNNNNNNNNNNNNNNNNNNNNNNNNNNNNNNNNNNNNNNNNNNNNNNNNNNNNNNNNNNNNNNNNNNAUCUUUGACUUGCACACACACACACAAUUUCGAUGGCUCUCUUCAUCGAUCUCGCACCCACCCACUUGAUCCUCUCUUCGACUCUAUCGAUAUCUAUGACCCCUCCCUCUCUUCUGGUGGAUCGCCCGACCCUCUAUAUAUGAUAUGGAUAGGCCUCCAUUUCACACACAUUGCAUGCAAAAUUUUGUUUGAGAUGUCAUCGACACAUAUUCCCACAAAUACAUUCACGAAAUCAACCUCCCCCCAAAACAAAAAACACUCAUGAACGCACAAGCCAUUUGUCUAGGUUUGUAUAUCACACACACACACGUAGGUGGGGGACGUGCACGAAGAGAAGAGGUGCACGCACGGCGCUCAUACUCCCGUCUCUUUCCCAACCACACCCGCGCGGGGUACACGAUGGAGCUCAUUUCUGUACGAAAAGGCAGCCCACGUGGUAAUUUGACACGUGUACUGGUUGUCCACUAGAUGGAGGGAGGAUCGUCUACCACGGGUGAACAAACAAAUUGCGACUUGACGCGUUAUGUUAAAAAAGAGGCAAACCAUGUGGGGCCUACCUUAGAGGCAAGGCUCUAUACACUGGAGUACUUUUGAUGUGUCCCGUCAACUCGGAGAAUGAGGAGAAGCUUGCUUAGUACGCUGUCUCCCCCGCCCACGGGCGCGAUGGCUCACAGGAUGAGGUGAAGCUUGCUUACUACGCCUUACGCCCGCUCCCUCGCCCACGCGCGCGGUGGCUCGCAAGACGAGGAGAAAAUUUUACUAGUACUCCCACCGUUUACUCCUCGUCCCUACCUUGGUUAGAGAGAUUAUCAUAUUGUUUGGAAGUCCUUUAGUAGAUUUCAAUAUGAACUACUAGUACAUACUCCAAACGCUGAUGUAUAUAGACGUAUUUUAGAGUGUAGAUUCACUCAUUUUGCUCCGUAUCUAGUCCAUAUUGAAACAGACCUAAUAGUAUGCACUCUCCCUCGCCCCUUGACCCUCGCCACAUGGUGGACGUGCAGCAAUUCAUUCGGUCUCAUAUAGCCAGAACGAUAUAUACUGCAGUACCAUUAUUGCUCGACUUCCCGAAGAGGUGAAGUGCCAAUCGCAAGGUUAAUAGUUUGGAGAUACCAAGCGCAAGGUUUAUAGGAGAACGAGUAGUAGGUGCCGCGUCAUUUAUAAAUAAAGUUUUUUUUCUUCAGUGGCACGUACGCAAUAUAAAUAGGUUCAUAUGGAGAGAAAAGGAAACCGCUCCACUAUAUACAUAGGCAGGACGAGCCUACACGGUUGCUUGCUGGGGUUGCUCUCUUCAGUUUUCACACUCUCUCGCACAAAACCACUGUGGCCACAUCUCUAACAUCCCGACGGAUCACGUCCGCCGGGGGAAGGGGUGGAUGCUUAGUGUAGAUGCGGUCGCCGUCGCCGACGGCGAAAACCCACUGUCGGCACGUCCCGAUCAGGGGUCCCCGCUAUUCUCUCUCACAAAGCCGGUGAGGUUGCCUUCGUCCAUUGCUCACUGCCGCAACGUGGGUAGUUGCCUCCUCCCGCCGCCCUCCUCUAGGUUGAGCUACGUCCCGACAUCCCUCGGGUACAACUCCCUUUACAGCCGGCUUGCACCACUGCUCCAGCUGCCCACAUCACUCCAUGUGGAUAUUUCUCUACUUCUUUGCCCCGCACAUACCUCUACUGGCUUCUACAUACUGUAUUUGUGAUGAGUUUAUGUCUCAUCAACUAGUACCAGUAAUCUUAUUCUAAUCACGCUUCUUCAAUUUCUUUGCCACAGGGAUGCUCAUCUCAAUUUUGGUGAAACUUGACAAAAUGAUCCGAUGGUCAAAGGGUUGCAAACUUCAUUUCUUAGGAAGCGCCGACGUUGCCAGCAAAUUAAAGCCUGGUUAGGGUUUAUGUUUCAAGGGCUAGGGACUGCAUGGAUCAUUUUUUUCUUUAGCUGUCUCUGUUUCAAUGGCUAGGGACUGCAUGAGUAGUAGUAGUAUUGUACGCCUUACGCCCGCUCCCUCGCCCACGCGCGCGGUGGCUCGCAGGACGAGGAGAAAAUUUUACUACUCCCUCCGUUUACUCCUCGUCCCUACUACCUUGCUUAGAGAGAUUAUCAUAUUGUUUGGAAUAUAUAUGUCCUUUAGUAGAUUUCAAUAUGAACUACUAGUACAUACUCCAAAAACUGAUGUAUAUAGACGUAUUUUAGAGUGUAGAUUCACUGAUUUUGCUCCGUAUGUAGCAUAAAGUUGAGACACUUAUUUUGGAACGGAGGGAGUACAUAUUUGGUAUGAUCUGUCAAUCAUUGAGAUGCAAUAGCAUGCAUUAUCUCCUUUUGUAUUUGAUGAAAUGUUGCAACGGGCAACCUUGGACGCAAGAUACAUGUAACAGAAGCUGGAAGCUUCAUAGCAUUGUACUAUCUCGCUGAUAAAUUACAGUACGUACUAUACAAGUACUUCCUCCGUUCCUAAAUAUAAGUCUUUGUAGAGAUUUCACCAUGAACCACAUACAGAUGUAUAUAGAUGCACUUUAAGUGUAGAUUCAUUCAUUUUGUUCUGUAUGUAGUCCACCUAGUGGAAUCUCUACAAAGACUUAUAUUUAGGAACGGAGGGAGUACUAUGUAAAGAGUUAGGUGUCACACGAUGUCCAGAAAAUAUGGUGAUAGUGUGAGGUGGGCCAUGUAAUCACUGAGCCUGCGUGUUUUCACUGCUCUUGCACUCCUCCGCCGUAAGAAUGGAGAAAAUUGUAAUCUAGUAGUACCUCCUUUCGCCGAAAGCGUGGGACAUCCAGCAGUCCUACCACCUUAGUAAUAAUGACUAAUGAGCCGUCAAAUCACAUAGACCCAGCAGUAAGUUGGACGGACGAAGUAACCAUCACUCUUGAAUCCGCUUCUCCCUUCAACGCAGGCGCCAGUGAGAGGUCGCGUCCGCUCUGCCCGGGCAUGAAUGCGGCACCGAUUCUUUGGAGCAGCGCUGACCGUUUCGGGCGGGAAGCGCGCACGGGCGAUGGAGGGGCUUUGGGUGGGCCAGGCUGGUUAGGAGCGGCGUGGCAGCUGUCCACCUGUCCCUACCGGACGCCCGGAAACGAGAGGAUGCACCGACUCUCGUGGCUAAAAUCGUACACUACACACCAUCUCUCUGUAGGAGUAGGUCGAUCUGUUGCUCUCUCUAACACACACAUGCUGUUAAACACACACACGCACACGCACACACAGGUUCAUAGAAUAGGAAAAUCGUGCGAGUGCGAAGCCACAGGAAGUGAGAUACAAAUGGAGUACAUACAAGAAGAGAAGAGGUGACGAAUAUUCCAUCAAACCUAGACUGAGGAGUAGUACUCCCUCCGUCUAGGUGUUAAGUCGUCCUACAGAAAUCAGAUAUUCCCAAAAUGUUUAGGCGUCGUCCAUUAACUACGCAUCUCAAUCCCCUCCAGGCCUCGUUGCUAGCGAGCGUUGUUACUUUGGGAGCGUUUGGAUCCUUAGCAAGAACAGCUUAUAGCAUAGCCGGGCAAGGUUAGGCAUUUGGAACUGUUAAAACAUGUUAGCUUUUGUGGGCCAGCUAGCUUGGGUGGGCUAGAAAAACCUUGCUAGCUCAGGAGAGCCAGAUCGGCUCGCUUCCGAUGGCAAACUUCGCAUAGUAGUAACAUAGACUAGUAACAUAUGCAUGUUGUACUAGUCCAGGUUACUCACCACUAUGACCAGCCUAAGCAAUGUAACCAAACGCUCCUUACUCUGCCUUGUUAUCUCCCCCGAAAACCCAAUGCAUGGAGCGCAACUACGCGUUGAUCAGUCAAGAAAUCAAAGUCGGCUUGCAUGCGAGUUAAUACGUGGCCCUGCAUGGUAUCUAAAACGGCAUCUCUUAGUUGUUUGGAUUAAUUGUUGCGUUUAGAGACAAAAAUCAGGGCUUUGAUUAGAAGAAUGACCGGUCAAGUUUCUCCUUCUCCUCCAAUCUGCUUGCACCUUGGUCCCGCUGCACCAUCUAACGUGAAUUAUUACACCUAGACGGAGGGAGUCGUACGAGAUACGGUGGCACACUGACUUAGGUCGAAUACAAGUGCCCAAAAUUGUGUGCAUGUUAUAAUAAGGAUUCACUUAAAAUAGUACGUGAGCGAACAGAGGGAUCAAUUGGACAGUGUUCUCGAGCAGUAGAGAGAUGUGUGAGGUAAGAUACACCGCUAGCGCUUUUAAUUUUUCUUAUUAAUUUGUUUGUUUCACCCUCUGAUUGGUGGGACCCAACGUACUACGUGGAGAGAGGUAAGGUGACUAAGGCUACAUUAUUUCUGCACCACUGUGGAUAGUCUUACCACCAAAGCCACAUGACACGAUUAUGAUUUAAAUCCCAAUGACUCCCACAGACACAAAAAACACGACAUGCUUGUCACACGAAUGCAGGAAUGUAUAAAAGGUUAUUUUCCUCUCGUUGAACAUAACGGGAGGGUUGUGUAGCUGGUUAGCCUGUUCGCUCAUCAAACUUGAGGUCUCGGGUUCUAUAACUACACUUGAGCAUAAUUCGUGCCAUGAGGAUUCUUUGACUGGUGAAAAUGGAUGGAUACGGAGCUAUACGAUCUCGUAGUGACCGUAUAAUCACCUCAUCACGUAUAAGCUGCAGCCUCGGCGCUUGUUUUCUAGGGUUUGCACUCUUCACACUCUCUCCAGUAUAUAUAUACACGCUGGAACCUCAGCGCUUGUAGUUGCUAUCUUCACACUUUCUCACCCUCUCUCCAGAUCUAAACAAGACUUCGUUGGCAUCUCUCUCUCUCUAUCCCCUCACUGCUGGUCUGCUUGUAGUUGCUCUCUUCACACUCGCUCACCCUCUCCAGAUCUAAACAAGACUUCGUUGGCCUCUCUCUCUCCCCUCACUGCUGGUCAAAGAGCCGGCAGGAUCCGUCCGCCCGGAAGGGAAGGAGGCUUAACGCUGUCGCCGUCGGCGAGGGAGGGAAGCCACUACUGACGCAGCUAUUCACAUUUACCCAGCGGCGGCGCGGGAGGGCCUUCGACCCCUUCUUCUUCGCCGCCGUACAUAGUGUGGGUCAAACGGCCUCCGGUCGCCCAUCGAACCACACCCCAAGAACCUUAAGGUAUAAUUUACUUAUUCCACAUGCAUUUCUCUAGCUGCAUGUGGGCUUUUUCCGCUUCUGCACUCGAAUCUAGGUGUUAGAUCAAACAGGAAAGUAGUGGGGAACGUUGUAUACCAUGAAUCUAGGACGUGGUUCAAAGAGGAAAGGAAUGGGGGAAAGUAGUGGGAAAAGUUGUAUAGCACGAAUCUAGGACGUGGUUCAAAAAGGAAAGGAAGGGGGAAAGUAGUGGGGAAAGUUGUAUCACAUGAAUCUAAGACGUGGUUCAAAGAGGACAGGAAUGGGGGAAAGUUGUAUAGCAUAAAUCUAGGAUGUGGUUCACAGAGGAAAGGAAGUGGGGAAAGUACUAGUACAGACUGGCUAUCCAGCACCUAUGUUGGUCGAAAAGGGAAAACAAUGACAAACGCAGUACACACAUCUGUAACAAACUAAUCUUUUGUUUUGGGGGACAAGGCUUUAGAGUUUGAGCAGGACUAGAUUUGAUGCGCUCACAUAGGGAAAGGUGUCUAAAGAUAACAAAACUGGGACCAGCACAAAUAUGCUCCUUGGUUGUUUCUUCUUUGUUGCAACAGACUGUGCAUCACCCCAGUACAUCGGUAGAUGCACAUGGUGCUGGUGCGUCCACUGUCCCGUGCAACUCUUUAGCUGUUGUUAAUCUAAGGCCCGGUUUGGUUAAAAACUCCCUAGUCCCUACCUGCUUGGUUCCAGGGACUAAACAUGGACUAGAGGUUAUUAAAUGACAUGCUAAAAGACCAUGUUACCCCUAGUAAUGAACUAAUAGAGACAAGGUGCGAUGCGUGGCAGGGGCAACUGUUGGAAAAAGUCCCAAAAAGACUCUCCCUUGGGGUCUUCUUUCUUUAGUCCCAAGUGCCCACUUUUAGUCCCUAAAAGUCCCUCCUGUUUGGUUUAGAUGGGACUGACAUGGAGUUUUUUUAGUCCCUCCACCAAAAUGUCCCUGUAAACAAGCACCCUCUAAUAAUGCCGCUGGAAAAUUGAUGCAUUGCCACAGUUAAAAGCAAAUUACAUGUUUAACGAAUUUUAUUGUUAAUAUAAUCUCUCUGUUAAUAUUAAUCAAUGCCACCGUUUGAGAAAUGCUACUGUCUUGCUUUCAUUCCCAUUUAGAUAAGGUAGAUGCUUCUUUUUGUUGGCUUCUGUGUCAUCCGUUGUUAUUGACCACUAGUUGUUUCCUUUGCACCUCUGUGUAAACAAGGUUAUCUACUUCACCUCGUUGCCAUUGUGACCUUUUGUUGCACUGCACAAAACACUUUUGUUUUAAGAGUGUUUUUUGUAGUUCAACCAAAAUGUCACACCGACAACGUUGCUUGAUUGCUUGAUCUUAGUGGAACUGCACAAGAGGAGAUCUUACGUCCUAUCCGUGUUGGCAAAUUUGGUUCAGAUCUUCUUCUUGUGAGUUGUUUGAAUUCUGCGUCAUGAGAGGUCAGUACUAGCCUUCUUUCACAUGAUUCUGCAGUGUGCUUUCAUAUGUUGUGCUACUUGUACGGUAAUGUUGCUUGAUUUUAGUGAACUGCACAAAUGGAGACAAGACUUCCAAUCUGUAUGUGCACCGCAAUAUCCCAUUGAGGUAAGAUAAGGAUAUUCCACAACUGUUGGCCUGUAUUUUGCCACUUUCAUCAGAAAAUUAAUGUCAUUGUUUAGUGCUAUACUUGUGCAACCUAAUUGACAUGCCAAAUCUUACAUUGAAGGCGAAGCUUGUCUGUUAUUGAACCAAGUGAUGAAGGGGAAGAACAAGCGGAAGAAAAACAAAAAUCAACUCCUGGUGCUGUAAUGAAGCACUGGAACUGUGAUGACACAAGUAAUGAUAUAGUUUUGCAUCUUAAUUUAUUGCUAUGACUGGAACAAGCAAUUGUUUUGCCACUGAUUUGAUGCCACUCUUAAUGUAAUACGUAAUUAUCUCUACUUGUGCAAACAGGGAUCUUCUUUGAAGAUACCAUAUAUUUUAGUGGAACUGCACAAGAAGAUGCUGGAAACAUUAAUCUAAUCGAGGAGUAUAUAGUAAGCAUGGCCACCACAGUAGAUAGCAACAGAUGGUUCCGGAGAAGUGCUUCAUCUGUAUGCUCUACACAAUAAGCCUCCUGACAAAGGUUGGUUCUCGCCCACUGAUUUCAUCCAUAUGAUUGAGCUUUGUCAUAUCUAUUGGUGUUGUGCUACUAUUUAGAUACUGUCAUCAAAAAGUGGUAUUGUCCUUGAGAAGUGCUUCAUCUAUGCUGUUUUAAAUAUUUCCUUUCCUUUUUUGAGCAAACAGGAAUGCUAGCAUUUAGUUAUCCUCUUGUCUUUGCACAACAGGAUCAUCCUCCUCUGAAGAAGAAUAUGGAGUACAUGUAGUGACUAGUUCCGAUUAUGCCAGGAUGAAGAAGCCUUGUCUAUCUUCUCAUCAGAAGGGGUAGUUGAAGGAUGGUUACAUUACCCCCCACAAGACCAAACUAACUUCAGCUCAGAAGGACUGAAAAAUCUCCAUUUUCUUGCUAUGAUGCACAAGUACAAUGUUGUUCUAGGAUUGUUUCCGGUGAGUUCCAUUUUUCUAAAAGUGUGCUCUACAUGGACCAUGUAGGUGGCUGUUUAAACUGUCAAUUCAUAGUACAGUUUGCUUUAUACGAAUCACUUUUUUUGUAUUUGUGCAAACAGGGGUGCUCAGCUUGAUUUCAAUGGGAACUGCACAAAAUGUUCAUGAAUACAUCGAAUCAUUCAUUUCCACCACAAGAAAGGAGGUGCCGAUAAGUUCAAGGCGUUGCAACAUAUAAGGGCGAAAUCAUACAAGCUACGCGCGAAUUUGGUUGAUUUUGGUGGAACUGCACAAAAAGAACAGCUGGUUUAUUUAGCACGAGGUGCCAUGUCAAUGUCCGAACUGAUGGCAAACCCUGCCCAUUCCACAAUCGUAGGCAUUUGAUAUUUUGGAAUGGGAAAACCUUGUCAAAUUUUGCUCAUUGAUUUUAGCAAGAAGACAUGCGUUUGAUAUUUUCGAAUGGGACGCCCUUUGCUGUCCGCAGCGUCGAUCCAUUUUUUCUUUAUUCUUUAGUUGUGAAGUAAAUAUUGGAUCUGACAUGUGAAUCGCUGAGAUGCAUAAUCAUCGAUUGUUUUGAAUGUUCUCUAUGAAUUGCCAGGCCUGUGUGUUUGAUUGCAAUGUACAGGAAUGCUAAAAACCUGCUCAAACUCUUUGUACUCCUUCUGUUCCUUUUUACUUCGCACAUUGUGAAAGUGCAUACUUUUUUCUAUAAGAUUUGUCAAAGUAGAGAUACUUUGACUGCAAACAAAACUUGUAUGCAGACUAGAAAGGACCACUAGUAGUAAAAGGGCCUAUUGUCCCGGUUGGUAAGGGCCUUUUGUCUCGGUUUUUGAACCGGGACUAAAGGGUCGUUACUAAUGCCCUAACCCUUUAGUCCCGGUUCUUACACGAACCGGGACAGAUGGGCCUCCACGUGGCCGGUGCGGUGAGCCCAGGCAGGAGGGCCUUUGGUCCCGGUUGGUGGUACUAACCGGGACCAAUAGGCAUCCACGCGUCAGCAUUUCAGGGGCUGGGGUUUUGUUUUUUUAAAGGGGGGUUGGGGGUUGGGGGUUUUGGGGGGUUAAUUUAGGUGUUUCAUAUAUUGUGUUAGCUAGCUAAUUAAUAGAGAGAAGUGUCCUCUCUUAUCUCGGUGCUUGGUCGAUGCUACGUACUAUAUACGUAUGGAGAGGACUAGACACGCUAGCUAGUAAUCAAAUGAAGGAAACAGAAGAUCGUCAUGAACAUAUGCAUACAGAGAGAAGUGAUAUCGACCACCUCUCCUUCUCCGAGAGAUUGGUCGAACAACAAGUUCUCGUAUAUCUAUCCGACACUACCGCCUACAUAUAUGCAAUAAUUAUCUCUUACAAUAUAAUCUCCUAAUUAAAUUGUAAGAACACAGGGUCCACAUAGUAUUCUCCGUUUUCAGCGAUCACGUGGUCAAGGAAGAAUGCCGUCAAUUCCUCUUGAAUUGCUCGCAUACGAUCUGGUGCUAGGAGUUUAUCCCGAAUCCGAAAGAUUUAAUUUGAAGAAGGGGGUCAAUACAUAUAUAUGAAUAAAUGAAACUCAACACAAAUGAUGGUAAUAAAAUAAAAUUAUGAAUAUUAUUGCUUACGCACUUCAUAUUGUUCGUCAGCGUAGCCCCGCUCACAGGUCGUGUAGCGGAUGGACUCGCAAACGUAGUAUCCACAGUAAUUAUUCCCGGGUUCCUGCCACAACCACUUUACGAGAAAUAGAGGUCAAUCAAACUGAUAAGCAAGCAUGCUAAAUGGUAUUUAUGAAACUAGCGCUUGAAUCACUAGGAGAUGCGCGGAACAUGCUAUUAUAGUACUUACUUUCGGGUGUUUAAAUUGCAGCUUCUUCGGCAGUCCCGGAGCUUUUUUGGUGAAUUUUCUCCAAACCCUGCCAGACAAAGAAAACAAUUACUUGAUAUCAGGAAAUGAACAAAGUUGCUGAUAUGGUGGAUAAUGAUCGAUUUAACUUACUUCUCGAGCAUUUGAGUCAUGUCCGCAUAGUCCUGGGGAUCUUUUCGUCUCGAGUCUAAGACGGUUACUACUCCCUGCUCAAGCUUAAUCUCUAGGAGAAUAUAGUGGAAGCUGCGCACGCAUGCGUAAGUCAUCAAUUACAUUACUAUAAUCUGGACUAAUAAGGGAAACCGAAUAUGCACAAGACAGUAACACUCACUUGAAGUUGUAAGGAAAGAGUAUUAUAUCUUUGUUUUCAUUUAUUACCAACGAUCGUAGCAAGUUGGCCUCGGUAUUUUCGGCAUGAUAUUUAACCUCAGUUGCAUCUAUGAGAUUUGUGUUAAUGAACCCAAUAUCACCGAUUUGUCUUUUCUUCAAUUCGGCGAUCUUCAAUCUGCAUAAUAUAGUGAGGAUAAUUAUAAAUACAUGCAAUGAAAGAGCUGACCUAUAUAGAGAGACUUAAUGACAGAAGUAGUACUACUUACAGACAGUAGCAAGUGAUCGUUGAUUUAUCGAGGGCCUUUUGAUUGAAAAACUGGAAGAACUCCUCAAAUGGAACAUUCAACAGUUCAAUUCCAAUGAGGUCAUGCUCCGGUUUAACUNNNNNNNNNNNNNNNNNNNNNNNNNNNNNNNNNNNNNNNNNNNNNNNNNNNNNNNNNNNNNNNNNNNNNNNNNNNNNNNNNNNNNNNNNNNNNNNNNNNNNNNNNNNNNNNNNNNNNNNNNNNNNNNNNNNNNNNNNNNNNNNNNNNNNNNNNNNNNNNNNNNNNNNNNNNNNNNNNNNNNNNNNNNNNNNNNNNNNNNNNNNNNNNNNNNNNNNNNNNNNNNNNNNNNNNNNNNNNNNNNNNNNNNNNNNNNNNNNNNNNNNNNNNNNNNNNNNNNNNNNNNNNNNNNNNNNNNNNNNNNNNNNNNNNNNNNNNNNNNNNNNNNNNNNNNNNNNNNNNNNNNNNNNNNNNNNNNNNNNNNNNNNNNNNNNNNNNNNNNNNNNNNNNNNNNNNCAUGUACCAAUCAUGUAAUCUUCGCAUCAUCGUUGUUAGAGAUCUUUCAUCUUUGACGAGAGGCUUCCCGUAAUGGUAUUUGUGUUCGUCCACCUCCAAGAUAUCAUAAUGUACAUCAUCGGGCAGGUAAUCUCCAAGAUUGCUAUAACCGGGCACCAUCCUCGGAUCAUUAGCGAUGAUGUCGCUAGACACCUUGAGCGGGGGGCACGAUUGGUGCGCUUGUUCAUCGAGCUGGGCAAUUUUUUUCCCAGCUCGUCAUUCUUUUAACCUUUGAUCACUGACAGUACUUCCCAACCACUCCGCUUCGGCAAAUGUCUUUGCAAUAAUUUGCUCAUAGUUGCCUUUCGGCGGAGACUUUGGUGGUUUUGUCAGGGCAGCCAGAGUGUGCUUCGCUUUCACCGGAUCUACCUUCUCCUCCGGAGGUGGAUGCUUCUUUGCUUUCACCCCUUCAAAGAAGUUCGUCACUUCGGCUCACACGAUCUUCGUGGUUUCCUCCUCGGUCAUCUCGUAUGGUAACUUCUCUGGAGUCUUCAGAGAAGGACCGAAUCUGUAUUGCCUCCCGCCUGUGGCUGUACUACUAGACGCCAGCAGAGCAAACGGAGCGGCUGCGGCUGUCUUCUUUCCUUGCUUACGAGGCAGAGGAGAAGGACUACGACGCGCCGGAGCAGCAGGAGCAGCGGCGGGUCUCUUCCGCCCUUGCUGACGAGGUAGAGAAGGAGGAGGUUGGCUGCUCUGGCGCGCCGGCGCAGGCGGAGAAGGAGGCGGAGUGCCGCCACGUGCCGGAGAAGGAGGCUGAGUGCCCUGAUCAUUCGCCGGAGGAGGAGGCGGAGUGCCGCCAUGCACCGGAGAAGGAGGCUGAGUGCCCUGAUCACUCGCCGGAGGAGGAGGCGGAGGAGGAGGCGGAGUGCCCUUACUCGCUGGAGGCGUCCAGUUCGGAAGGUUGAUGAGCUCCUUCCGCCAUAGGCAUGGAGUCUUCAGAGCAGAACCCAGCCGAGUCUCCCCUUCACCGGUAGGGUGGUCAAGCUGUAGGUCCUCAAAUCCCUCCGUUAUUUCAUCCACCAUCACCCUAGCAUAUCCUUCUGGAAUCGGCCGACAGUGGUAGGUUGCGCCGGGUUCAGGAGGUAAAACAGAGCCAACAGCCGCCUUGACUUUGAAGUUCUGCUAUUGCGUCAUAAGGUGGCAAUGUUGAGACUCUGUGAUAGCAUCCACGGGGUAGCUAGCAGGAGCCGUCAAGACAUGCUUCGGCUGAAGCAGCUCGGUGGAAGCCACGCUGUUUCUCCGCUGAGAUGGCGGGGUAGCUUCGGGGGUAGUUUUGGUAUGUCGAUUGCCGUCUCGUUCCUCUAGUGCUUGAACCCUUUCGUGCAGCUUCUGAAUUUGGGUCUGCUCCAAUUUUUUCCUCCUCUCCUGGCUUUUGUAACCGCCUGCGUCCGGAAAACCAGCCUUCCACGGAACGGAGCCUGGCGUGCCUCGUGUCCGUCCAGGGUGCUCAGGAUUCCCGAGGGCCAUUGUGAGCUCGUCGUUCUCUCUGUCUGGAACGAACGUCCCUUGCUGCGCUGCAUCGAUAUAGUGCUGAAGCCUCUUGACUGGUAUUCUCAAAAGCUCGUCCGUUCAAACGCACCUCCCUGAUACAGGGUCCAAUUUUCCGCCAGCCCCGAAGAACCAAGUCCGGCAACGGUCUGGCCAGUUCAUUGUCUCUGGUUCGAUCCCUUUAUCAAGCAGAUCAUUCUCAGCCUUGGCCCACUUAGGCCGGGCUUUGAGGUAAACACCUGACCCCGUGCGAUGGUGAAGCUUCUUCUUCGCAGCAUUCUUCUUGUUUGUCGCUGACAUCUUCUUACUCUUUUCUGAUGUCUUGUGGGCCACAAAUGCGUGCCAGUGAUCUCUGAUCUUCUCAUACCGGCCGAUGAAUUCUGGUGUCUCUUCUUUGUCGACAAACGUUUUCAGCUCAUUCUUCCACCUCCUGAAUAGGUCUGCCAUCUUCUUAAGAGCAUGAGACUUGAUUAAUUGCUCUUUAACUGGCUUCUCCGGAUCCUCCUCUAGCGGUACGGUGAAAUUUGCCUUCAGCUAAGUCCGAAGAUCAUCUUUCUGCAUAUCAUUGACAUAAGACACCUCAGGGUCUUCCUUCUUAGGCUUAUACCAUUGGUGGAUGCUGAUCGGGAUCUUGUCCCUAACAAGAACCCCACACUGAGCAGCAAAUGAUUCCUUUGUCCGGAUGGGUUCAAUCGGUUGGCCAUCGCGCGCGAUUGCUGUGAUCUCAAACCUUUCAUCCGAGCGCAACUUUCUCUUCGGGCCUCGUCUCUUUACCGAAGUUGUGCUCGAUCCGGAGGGCUAGAAAAAAAUAAGGAAGACGGGUGUUAAUUAAUGUGUGUACAUACCAAAACAAUGAAUGCAUCAAUUAGCUAGUCAGCACAGGCUUAACUAAUAUAUUUACCUGGCCGGACUCUGUUCGGUCACCGGAGCCGUCACCACGGGCUCCUUCUUGCACCAGCAUUAGGUCACCGGAGCCAUCAUAAUCAUGUCUUUCCUCCUCCACUCUUCGAUCACCGUAGCCUGCUUCUUCACCCUGUUCUUCCGGACCAUCAUUGUCGUUAAGAUACGACAAGACGUCACCUCCGGCUAAGAUUAUGUCCCCCAACACCUCUUCUGCUUCCUCGUCUCGUCCGUGCUCCAUUGUUUCUCCAAAUAUUACAACAUGGCAAUUAUUACACAAACAUGACAGCAGGUGGAUAUAUUAGUGCAAACGUAGACCUACCUUAUUCCGGGGUUGGGGUGGCCUCGGCAACGCUUCAAGGGUAGGGGCGCGGCGGGAGGGGCUAGGAGACCGACAUCGUUUUUUUCUAGGGUUUGGGUGUCCUCGAGAGUUUUGGUCGAGCGAGAGGGCCGGGGGGUGCUCCCGUGGUAUAAGUUAUCACGGUCGAGAGGGGGUAUAAAUAUCGACCGUCCAUCAUGUCGAAGUUAUCUGGGAGGGAGUUAUAUAUAUCGACAACGACGACAUACAUACAUGGGAAAAUAUGAUGAAACUUUGAAGGGAGGAAUUUGAUGAAACUUUUCAUAAUCUUCAGACAUGUCUGUCUUGCCCUCCACUCCCACAAUGUCCCUUUUUCCUGAAAGAACUAUGUGGCACUUUGGCUCAUCGUAUGAUGUAUUCGCUUCCUUAUCUUUUCUUUUUCUCGGUCUGGUAGACAUGUCCUUCACAUAGAUAACAUGUGCCACAUCAUUGGCUAGGACGAACGGUUCGUCAGUGUACCCAAGAUUGUUCAGAUCCACUGUUGUCAUUCCGUACUGUGGGUUUACCUGUACCCCGCCUCCUGACAGAUUGACCCAUUUGCACUUAAACAAAGGGACCUUAAAAUCAUGUCCGUAGUCAAGUUCCCAUAUGUCCAUUAUGUAACCAUAAUAUGUGUCCUUUCCCCUCUCGGUUGCUGCAUCAAAGAGGACACCGCUGUUUUGGUUGGUGCUCUUUUGAUCUUGGGCGAUCGUGUAAAAUGUAUUCCCAUUUAUCUCGUAUCCUUUGUAAGUCAAUACAGUCGAAGAUGGUCCCCUGGACAACGAGUACAACUCAUCACAAACAAUGGUGUCACCUCUGAGACGUGUUUCCAACCAACUGCUGAAAGUCCUGAUGUGUUCACAUGUAAUCCAGUCGUCACACUGCUCCGGGUGUUUUGAGCGCAGACUGUUCUUGUGUUCAUCGACAUACGGGGUCACCAAGGUAGAGUUCUGUAGAACUGUGUAGUGUGCUUGAGACCAAGAAUGCCCGUCCCUGCAUAUUAUUGAGUCCACUCCUAGCGUGCGUUUUCCAGUCAGUCUCCCCUCAUACCGCGAUUUAGGGAGACCUAUCUUCUUAAGGCCAGGAAUGAAGUCAACACAAAACCCAAUGACAUCCUUUGUUUGAUGGCCCAUGGAGAUGCUUCCUUCUGGCCUAGCGCGGUUACGGACAUAUUUCUUUAGGACUCCCAUGAACCUCUCAAAGGGGAACAUAUUGUGUAGAAAUACGGACCCCAGAAUGACAAUCUCGUCGACUAGAUGAAGUAGGACGUGCGUCAUGAUAUUGAAGAAGGAUGGUGAGAACAACAGCUCGAAACUGACAAGACAUUGCGCCACAUCACUCCUUAGCCUUGGUAUGAUUUCUGGAUCGAUCACCUUCUGAGAGAUUGCAUUGAGGAAUGCACAUUGCUUCACAAUGGCUAAUCGGACGUUUUUCGGUAGAAGCCCCCUCAAUGCAACCGGAAGCAGUUGCGUCAUAAUCACGUGGAAGUCAUGAGACUUUAGGUUCUGGAACUUUUUCUCUGGCAUAUUUAUUAUUCCCUUUAUAUUCGACGAGAAGCCAGCUAGUCGGGACCUUCAUACUAAGCAGGCAUUCAAAGAAGAUUUCUUUCUCUUCUUUCGUAAGAGCGUAGCUGGCAGGACCUUCAUACUGCUUCGGAGGCAUGCCGUCUUUUUCGUGCAAACGUUGCAGGUCCUCCCGUGCCUCAGGUGUAUCUUUUGUCUUCCCAUACACGCCCAAGAAGCCUAGCAGGUUCACGCAAAGGUUCUUCGUCACGUGCAUCACGUCGAUUGAAGAGCGGACCUCUAGGUCUUUCCAGUAGGGUAGGUCCCAAAAUAUAGAUUUCUUCUUCCACAUGGGUGCGUGUCCCUCAGCGUCAUUCGGAACAGCUAGUCCGCCGGGACCCUUUCCAAAGAUUACGUGUAAAUCAUUGACCAUAGCAAGUACGUGAUCACCGGUACACAUGGCGGGCUUCUUCAGGUGAUCUGCCUCGCCUUUGAAAUGCUUGCCUUUCUUUCGACAUUGAUGGUUGGUCGGAAGAAAUUGACGAUGGCCCAGGUACACAUUCUUCCUACAUUUUUCCAGGUAUAUACUUUCAGUGUCAUCUAAACAGUGCGUGCAUGCGUGGUAUCCCUUGUUUGUCUGUCCUGAAAGGUUACUAAGAGCGGGCCAAUCGUUGAUGGUUACAAACAGCAACGCGUGUAGGUUAAAUUCCUCCAGUUUGUGCUCAUCCCACGUACGUACACCAUUUCCAUUCCACAGCUGUAAAAGUUCUUCAACUAAUGGCCUUAGGUACACAUCAAUUUCAUUGCCGGGUUGCUUAGGGCCUUGGAUGAGAACUAGCAUCAUAAUGAACUUCCGCUUCAUGCACAUCCAAGGAGGAAGGUUAUACAUACAUAGAGUCACGGGCCAGGUGCUGUGAUUGCUGCUCUGCUCCCCGAAAGGAUUAAUGCCAUCCACGCUUAAACCAAACCAUACGUUCCUUGGGUCAGCUGCAAACUCAGCCCAGUACUUUCUCUCGAUUUUUCUCCACUGCGACCCGUCAGCGGGUGCUUUCAACUUCCCGUCUUUCUUAAAGUCCUCACUGUGCCAUCGCAUCAACUUGGCAUGCUCUUCGUUUCUGAACAGACGUUUCAACCGUGGUAUUAUAGGAGCAUACCACAUCACCUUCGCAGGAACCCUCUUCCUGGGGGGCUCGCCAUCAACAUCACCAGGGUCAUCUCGUCUGACCUUAUACUGCAAUGCACCGCAUACCGGGCAUGCGUUCAGAUCCUUGUACGCACCGCGGUAGAGGAUGCAGUCAUUAGGGCAUGCAUGUAUCUUCUGCACCUCCAAUCCUAGAGGGCAUACGACCUUCUUUGCUGCGUAUGUACUGUCGGGCAAUUCGUUAUCCUUUGGAAGCUUCUUCUUCAAUAUUUUCAAUAGCUUCUCAAAUCCUUUGUCAGGCACAGCAUUCUCUGCCUUCCACUGCAGCAAUUCCAGUACGGUACCGAGCUUUGUGUUGCCAUCUUCGCAAUUGGGGUACAACCCUUUUUGUGAUCCUCUAACAUGCGAUCGAACAUCAGCUUCUCCUUUUGACUUUCGCAUUGCGUCCUUGCAUCGACAAUGACCCGGCGGAGAUCAUCAUCAUCGGGCACUGGUUCCUCUUCAUCUUCAGCAGCUUCCCCCGUUGCAGCAUCAUUGGGCACAUUGUCUGGUUCCUCUUGAUCUUCAGCAGCUUCCCCCGUUGCGGCAUCACCGUAUUCAGGGGGCACAUAUUUGUCAUCGUCCUCUUCUUCUUCGCCGUCUUCCAUCAUAACCCCUAUUUCUCCGUGCCUCGUCCAAACAUUAUAGUGUGGCAUGAAACCCUUGUAAAGCAGGUGGGUGUGAAGGAUUUUCCGGUCAGAGUAAGACUUUGUAUUCCCACAUUUAGGGCAUGGAAAACACAUUAAACCAUUCUGCUUGUUUGCCUCAGCCACUUCGAGAAAAUCAUGCACGCCCUUAAUGUACUCGGAGGUGUUUCUGUCACCGUACAUCCAUUGCCGGUUCAUCUGCGUGCAUUAUAUAUAAUUAAGUGUGUCAAAAACCAUUACAGAACAUCAUGAAUAGAUAAUUAAGUGACCAAAUUAAUAGAAGUUCAUCAUCACAUUAAAACCAAAGUACAUACAUAGUUCUCAUCUAACAACAUAUAGCUCUCCAGAGCAUCUAAUUAAUUAAACCAUACAUUAAAACUAUGUAAAACAUUUCAAUGCGAAAACAAAUGCGAUCAUAAUCGCAACCAAGGUAACAAUUGAUCCAACGGCAUAAUGAUACCAAGCCUCAGUAUGAAUGGCAUAUUUUCUAAUCUUUCUAAUCUUCAAGCGCAUUGCAUCCAUCUUGAUCUUGUGAUCAUUGACGACAUCCGCAACAUGCAACUCCAAUAUCAUCUUCUCCUCCUCAAUUUUUUUAUUUUUUCCUUCAAGAAAUUGUUUUCUUCUUCAACUAAAUUUAACCUCUCGACAAUAGGGUCGGUUGGAAUUUCCGGUUCACAUACCUCCUAGAUAAAUAAAAUCUAUGUCACGUUGGUCGGCAUAAUUUUCAUAAACAAUAAAUGAACCAAUAGCUAUAAAGAUAAUAUAUACCACAUCCGAAUCAUAGACAGGACGAGGGCCGACGGGGGCGGAUACCAAAACCAUCGCACUAUAUAAUAACAAGCAAUAAAAUAGUAAGAAAAUUAGACAAGUAUCUAUCUAAAGUAAGAAUUGUUUUCUUUCAGAAAGAAGAUAAGAACAAGAGGCUCACCACGGUGGUGCCGGCGACGAGAUCGGCGCGGUCGAUCGACGGGGGUGAAGACGGGAAUGGGACGUGACGGGCAGCUAAACCUAGACAAAUCUCGAGGAAAAUGGAGCUUUGAGGUCGAGCUUCGAGAGGAGAAAGCUUAACUAGUGUGGCUCGGGCAUUUCAUCGAACACCUCAUGAGCAUAGGAGGUGAGCUAGAGCACCACAAAGCCCUCCCCUCGCCGGCCAGAGAAAAACAGAGCAAUGGAGUGCUCUGCUCGCGGGCGAGGGGUAUAUAUAGGCACCUCAUUGGUCCCAGUUCAUGGCAUGAACUGGGACUAAAAGGCAGCCUGUGGUCCCGGUUCAAGCCACCAAGCGGGACCAAUGGUGGUGGGCCAGGAGCGAGGCCCAUUGGUCCUGGUUCGUCCCACCAACCGGGACCAAAGGGGCCAGACGAACCGAGACCAAUGCCCCCACGAGGCCCGGCAUGCCCCUGGCCUCACGAACCGGGACCAGUGCCCCGAUUGGUCCCGGUUCUGGACUGAACCAGGACUAAUGGGCUGACCCGGCCUGAACCAAAGCCCUGUUUUCUACUAGUGGACCGGAGGGAGUACAUGUGAAACUGCUGCAAACGAGGUGAUCACCCUGGGAAUAAUGCUAGUACGUAUUGUUUUGCAUAUUCAUCCAAUGCCAGCGAUACAAGAAUUCGAACUAAUCGAAAUAAAUUCAUUCAUACACGGUCGGAUUUCAUAUAAACAUGGCGGAUUUCAUUACAUUUCAUACAUUGUUCAACUAAAAAGGGGUGCGCUGGAGGUAUAAUUAAUUAACCGAAGCUACACACCUGUGUCCAGCUGAGGUGAACAGAAGCUUCAAUGACUUAACUGCAGGUGCAGUUAAGUAACUGACAUGUGGCCCAGAUGCCUGUUGGGCCCACGUGUCAGUCAGCCAACUGCACCAGCAGUUAAGUAGAAGCAGCGUCCUUCUCCAACAUAGCUCUCUGACUCCACGUCGCCGCCAAGAAGCUAACCGGUCGUUAGGGGUCAACCCGCCUAGCUUGUCAUAGCGAUUAGGGAAACUAGGAGCCCAAUGAUCAGGAUCCCCACAUGACAAACACCUUUCUUCUUGUCAUUCUUCUUCUUGAAGUUCGUGUGUUGCACAGCCUUGUUCUUCCCAUCAAACUUUGCUUUACCAUCAAACUUGCCCUUGUUCUUGAACUUGUGGGGCUGGAAGUUCUUCUUCUGUACCAUAUUGGCACUAGAUCCUCCCUCAAUUCCUCGAGCACGUGUGUCAUUUGCUCUCGCCUAUUCUUCCACAUCAAGAGUGCCAAUGAGAUCCACGAAGGAGGAAGCUUAGUGAUGAUACCUCCGGCAACAAACUUGUCCGGUAGCAUACAACUGAAGUGCUCAAGUUCUCUAGCAAAAGACUGUAUCUCAUGAGCUUGCUCAACCACGGAGCACUCUUCAAUCAUCCUGUAAUCAUAGAAUUGCUCCAUGAUGUACAGCUCAGUGCCAGCAACCGGAGGGUAGCAGCGGUGGCCUUACUUGGACCCGAGCGGCGGCGACCUACCGUGUUCUACUCUUCCUCAUUUUUUGUGUGGCGCGGCCUCGUUGGCAGCGGGGCGGGCCCUCGGCGGAGCCGGCGAUGUCCUCUGUCUCGUUGCCGGCGGGCGGCGCCUCGGCGGAGCGGGGGCGGCAGGGUGGGGCCUCGGCAGAGCCGGUGGUGUCCUCUGCCUCGUUGUUGGCGCCGCAGGGCCUCGGCGGUGCAGGGCCUCGUCGACGCCAGCUGAGCGGGGACUCGUCAGAGCCGGCAUUUUCCUCUGCCCCGUCCUCGGUCUCGCCAAACAGUGCCUCGCCCGCUUCAUCGCCCUCUUUGUAGGUGGCCGCAGCCUCCGCCGCCCGCAUGCAGUACCGCCAGCGCUCGAGGCGGCCCUCGCGAUCGGAGCGGUACGAGUCGAGCAGCGCCUCCUGCUCCACCCGCUCCGCAGCGAUCUGCUCCUCCGCCUACAGGUGCUCCUGGAGGAGAUGGUGGUUGUAGGCUGCAAAUCUUUCCUAGGAGGGAUGCAUUGGGCUUAACAAGAAAAUGGGCUUUAAGAAAUAAUAAAUGGGAUGUAAUUAUAAAAACUGGGCAGUAACUAUAAAAAUGCACCAAACACGUAAUUACUUUAUAAAAUAUUAUUUUUGGAUAUUGAAAAUUUUAAUUUCAUUAAUUGUUGCGAGCGCAAUGUUUCGUUGGAUUUUUACGUAAUAUAAAUUUAUAUUGAAAUUGUAUUUAAUCUGACUAGAAAUUUCGGGAUAAAAAUAUUUCGGAUCCCAUCAAAAUGUGGGAAAUUUUAGUGAAUUCUGUUUUGAAAGGUUGGUUGAAAUGGGCUGUACUUUUAACAAACUGUAAAUGGGCUGUAGUAAAUUCCAUUAGAAUUCAAAAAUUGGCUGCACAUUCUUACAAACUCAAAUGGGCUAUAAGUUCUCUGCCACAAAAUAAAGAGUUGACGCGUAUGCAAGGCUUUGUCAACUUAUAGUCAACACACAGUUCUAGCAGCAAUGGCCGUUGGAUGUCCAUCCAACGGAUGCCGUGCUUCUUCUUCAAUCUCGGAUAUUCUAGCUUCACCCGCCCAAAAAAUGAUUCCUCCCCCUGACAUCUGGGGCGCACCAUUUCGGAAGCUGACCUGUGGGCCUACUAAGUUGACACGUACCAAGGGCUUUGUCAACUUAGUCAAUAUAAACGAUUCUAGCUGCAGUGACUAUACGAUGUCCAUCCAACGGCCGUCGUGCUUCUUCAACCUCUGGUCUUCUUGCUCCAGCCGCCCAAAGCAGCGCCGGUCAUGUCGCCUGCUCCUACCUCCCGUGGCUGGCUGUGCUGCCAUGCAGGCCUCACCGCCCCCUACUACUCCCACCGCUGGCCAGGGCAUCCCUCCACUCACCCACACCCCCUGUUAUUCUGCGGCGACGGCAUCCUCACACCGCAGCCGAACCAGUGAACCCUCGUACUCCUCUCCACGUGGCAUCCACUGCCGCGUCUUCCGCGGCUCCGCGUCGUCCCCUUCCUAUGCCUCGUCGUCGUCCACCGCCAUGGUGCUCUCAGCGCAGCGUGGUCAACGUGGUCAAGGAACAACUUCCAUCGGAAGAGUACUGUACGUGGAGAGGCUGACAGCUGGGUCCACGGCAGCCGCAAGGAAGUGCCUCCUUAUUACGCGGAAAAUAAUUUUCCUCCACCUGACAGCAGGGAUCCACCGGACGAGCCACCGUAUUUGGCGAAAAAAAUGUUUCCCCCUGACUGCUGGAACCCACCGGACGGGCCAACAUAUUUCGCGAAAAAAAUUGUUCCCCCCGCUGUCAGCUCGGACCCACCGAAGGUGCCUCCUUAUUACGCACCCAAAAAAAUGAAUACUCCCCCUGCUAGUUGGGACCCACCUUGGUGGGAGGCUGACUUGUGGGCCUACUAAGUUGACGGGGACGGAGUGCUUUGUCAACUUAGUCAAUAUGAACGAUUCUAGCUCCAUUGACCGUACGAUGUCCAUCCAACGGCCGUAGUGCUUCUUCAACCUCUGCUCUUCUUGCUCCAGCCGCCCAAAGCAGCGCCGGUCAUGCCGCAUGCUCCUGCCUCCCGUGGCCGGCUGUGCUGCCGCAGAGGCCUCACCGCCCCCUACUAUUCCCACCGCUAGCCAGGCUCUGCGGCAACGGCAGUCUCACACCACAGCCGAACCAGUGAACCCUCGUACUCCUCUCCGCGCGGGCUUCCAUUGCCGCGUCUUCCCCGGCUCCGCGUCGUCCCCUUCCUAGGCCUCGCCGUCGUCCACCGCCCUGGUGCUCUCGGCGCGGCGUGGUCAAUGUGGUCAAGGAACGACUUCCAUCGGAAGAGUACUGUGCGUGGAGAGGCUGACAGCUGGGUCCACGGCGGCCGCAAGGAAGUGCCUCCUUAUUACGCGCAAAAUAAUUAUUCCUCCACCUGACAGCAGGGACCCACCGGACGGGCAACUGUAUUUCGCGAAAAAAAGUUUCCCCCUGACUGCUAGGACCUACGAGCUACAUCUUCGCACGCAAGGAAGUUCGUCCGGGCAAAAAAAAACGAUUCGCCCCCCUGACUGCUGGGACCCACCAGCUACAUCUUCGCAGGCAAGGAAGUGCCUGACAGUCGGGACCCACCUAGUCGAAGCGUACGUAGCGUUGUCAUUCUGGUCGCGAACAUGUACGUACAUACUGGUCGAUGUAGAGGCGCGCACGUGUCGUACUAGAGGCGCGCACGUAGCAUGUACACAUACGUACAGCGGCCAGUGUGCAAGAAAGAAAAUACGACCACGUACGUACAUACGGGUAGGGUCUCGAACGCCUACUUGCGCAUACGUACGGCCAGGGCUCAUGUACAUGGUUGGGUCGGAACGGAGAAACUGCGUCGUCGUCGUGUUCAUGGGGAGCCAACCGGCUGGGUCGGAACGAAAUGCGUCGUCGUGUUCAUCGGCAGCGCUUGGAUGGAACAGCCGAUGGAAACGAGGCCUGACAUACCGCAGAACGGAGGAAACGGCCAUGUGUUCGACCGGCCACGUUCGAAACGGGAUCCUGUUCAUCGGGAGGGGUGUGGCGUCCCGCAAAACGGAGGAAACGGACCUCCUACGGUCGAAAGAGGGGUCCUGUUGAUCAGGAGGGGUGUGGCUUACCGCAAAAUGGAGGAAACAGACUUGUGUUGGAGCGCUACAGUCGAAACGGGGGUCCUGUUCAUUGGGAGGGGUGUGGCAUACCGCAAAACGGGACUCCACGGGACACUGUUCAUCUGCACUGUCGACCCCCUCCAACCUCCACGGGCUACUGUUCAUCCACCGUAGACCUCCUCCAGCCUCCACCUGCGACUGUUCAUCCACGGGCUCCUGUUCAUCCAGCCUCCACCGCGCUACUCCACCGGCUACUGUUCAACCUGCCCUCUCCACGGGCUCCUGUUCAGCCACCCCUCCACGGGCUACUGUUCAUCCAGCCCUCCACCAUCUACUGUUCAUCCUGCCCUCCACGGGGUGGUCAUGUUCAUCAGCCCUCCACGGGGUCCUGUUCAUCUAGCCCCAACCGGCUCGAUCAAUCAGGGUCCUGUUCAUCCAGAGGCAACACCACGGGGUCCUGUUCAUCCACCCCCACCGGGAACUGUUCAUCCAAACCCCCCAGCAAAGCUCACUGUUCAUCCAGAGGCAGCAUCGAUCGGCUUCAGUUAGCAGGAGUAGCGAAGGAAUCGCUCGAUCGGGUUCAGUUAACAGCCAUCGAUCGAUCGCUCGGGUUCAGUAACGCGUAGCCUGCAGUGCAAUCGCUCGGGUUCAGUUAGAGCCCAACGCCUCGCUCGGGUUCAGUUAGAGCCCAACGCCUCGCUCGAGUUCAGUUAGAGCCCAACGCCUCGCACCCACGCGCGUGCGUGUACGAGAGAAACGUGCAUCGCUCGGCCCCGACCACCCACCAUAACCGGGAACACCCCGAUAUUUUCCUCGCCCUCGCUUCUACCACGGUUUUUUCCGUCAUGGACGGCCCAAAGAAUGUCAUGCAGCUGCGUCUCCGGACCGCCAAGGACGAAAAGCCCAUUUUUUGUCAUUAUUUUUUUCAUAGAAGUAGGACCCCACCACAUCUAUGAUGAUACCCGGUUUUGUCACAAUUAUCGUCAUAGAAGUGUCAUAAGUAUGACAGAAAUUUUUUUUGUUCGGCCCAAAUUGUCACGGAUGUGUCUUUUUUUUGUAGUGCUUGUAUCUUCACGGCCCGUCAGUCCGGCCCAUGUCACAUAGCCCAGAUGCCCGAGGACCCCAUAAUCCAGGACUCCCUCAAUAGGCAUCACGUCCAAGAUUAGUAGACCGACUCCUUUCUGCAUCUACUACUAUUACUUCACACAUCGACCGCUAUCCAGCAUGCAUCUACUGUAUUAAGUUCAUGGGAAAACGGAGUAAUGCAAUAAGAACGAUGACAUGAUGUAGACAAGAUCUAUUCAUGUAGGAACAGACCCCAUCUUUUUAUCCUUAAUGGCAAUGAUACAUGUGUGUCUUGUCUCCUUCUGUCACUGAGAUUGAGCACCGCAAGAUUGAACCCAUCACAAAGCGCCUCUUCCCAUGGCAAGAAAACUCAAUCUAGUUGGCCAAACCAAACCAAACCAAAGUUUUGGAUAAGAAAUACGAGGCUAUAACAAUCAAGGCCGUCUCCAGAAAUUCGGUGAUGAUGUUUGCUUGAACUACGUCGGUAUUUCCCCAAAGAGGAAGGGAUGAUGCAUCACAGCACCGGUAGGUAUUUCCCUCAGUGAUGAGAUCAAGGUUAUCGAAAUAGUAGGCGAACCAAGCAACACUACGUAAACAGCACCUGCACACAAAUAACAAACACUCGCAACCCGACGUGUUAAAGGGGUUAUCAAUCCCUUUUGGGUAACGGCGCCAGAAAUUGGCAAACGGACGUGAGAGAGUUGUAAAUAUUGAUAGAUCGAACGCCAAAUAAAAUAAAUUGCAGCAAGGUAUUUUUGUAUUUUUGGUUUAAUAUAUCUGAAAAUAAAAGCGAAGGAAAAUAGAUCGCAAAGGCAAAUAUAAUAAAGAAGAGACCCGGGGGCCGUAGGUUUCACUAGUGGCUUCUCUCGAGAAAAAUAGCAAACAGUGGGUGAACAAAUUACUGUUGGGCAAUUGAUAGAACUUCAAAUAAUCAUGACGAUAUCUAGGCAAUGAUCAUUAUAUAGGCAUCACGUCCAAGAUUAGUAGACCGACUCCUGCCUGUAUCUACUACUAUUACUCCACACAUCGACCGCUAUCCAGCAUGCAUCUAGUGUAUUAAGUUCAUGGAGAAACGGAGUAAUGCAAUAAGAACGAUGACAUGAUGUAGACAAGAUCUACUUAUGUAGAAAUAGAACCCAUCGUUUUAUCCUUAGUAGCAACGAUAUAUACGUGUCGGUUCCCCUUCUGUCACUGGGAUCAAGCACCGUAAGAUUGAACCCACUACAGAGCAUCUCUUCCAAUUGCAAGAUAAAUAGAUCAAGUUGGCCAAACAAAACCCAAAUACCAGAGAAGAAAUACGAGGCUAUAAGUAAUCAUGCAUAUAAGAGAUGAAAGAAGACUCAAAUAACUUUCAUGGAUAAAAAGAUAUAUCUGAUUAUAAACUAAAAGUUCAUCGGAUCCCAACAAACACACCGCAAAAAGAGUUACAUCAUAUGGAUCUCCAAGACUCCAUUGUAUUGGGAAUCAAACGAGAGAGAGGAAGCCAUCUAGCUACUAACUACGGACCCAUAGAUCUACAAAGAACUACUCACGCAUCAUCAGAGAGGCACCAAUGGACAUGAUGCACCCCUCCGUGAUGGUGUCUAGAUUGGAUCUGGUGGUUCUGGAACUUGCGGCGGCUUGAAUUGAUUUUCAUCGACUCCUGUAGGGUUUUCUGGAAUAUUGGGGUAUUUAUAGAGCAAAGAGGCGGUUCAGGGGGCACCCGAGGUGGGCACAACACACCUGGGCGCGCCUGGGCCACCAGGCGUGCCCUAGUGGGUUGUGCUCUCCUUGGAGCACCCCCCCAGGUGCUUCUCCGGCCUGCUGGAUGUCUUCUGGUCCAAAAAAAUUCACAAAAAGUUUCGCUGCAUUUGGACUCCGUUUGGUAUUGAUUUCCUGCGAUGUAAAAAACAUGCAAAAAACAGCAACUGGCACUUGGCACUAUGUCAAUAGGUUAGUACCAAAAAAUGAUAUAAAAUGAUUAUAAAACAUCCAAGAAUGAUAAUAUAACAACAUGAAACAAUAAAAAAUUAUAGAUAGGUUGGAGACGUAUCAACAUCCCCAAGCUUAAUUCCUGCUCCUCCUCGAGUAGAUAAAUGAUAAAAACAGAAUUUUUGAUGUGGAAUGGUGCCUAACAUGUCAUCUCAUAUUCUUUUCUUUAUAGCAUGGACAUUUGGACUUUCAUAUGGUUCAAAGCAAUAGUCUAGUUUUGACAUGAUAACUUAAAUACUCAAGCAUAUCAACAAGCAACCAAGUCUAUCAAAAUAUUAACGCUAAAAUAAGUUAUCUCUAGCCCAUCAUGCUCAAUCACUGAUCCAUUCAUGAAACACAAUCGCAUAUUAGCUACACCCAAUGCUCAAGUACGAUCAUAGUGCCUCCUAGUUGGUGAUUUAUAAGAGAAUGGAGACUCAUGUUGGGGAACGUAGCAUGCAAUUUCAAAAAUAUUCCUACGCUCACGCAAGAUCUAUCUAGGAGAUGCAUAGCAACGAGAGGGGGAGAGUGUGUCCACGUACCCUCGUAGACCGAAAGUGGAAGCGUUAUGUUAAUGCGGUUGAUGUAGUCGAACGUCUUCACAAUCCAAGUACCGAACGUACGGUACAUCUAUGUUCAGCACACGUUCAGCUCAAUGACAUCCCUCGAACUCUUGAUCCAGUAGAGGGUGGAGGGAGAGUUUCGUCAGCACGACGGCGUGGUGACGGUGUUGGUGAUGUGAUUCGCGCAAGGCUUCGCCUAAGCACUAGGACACUAUGACCAGAGGAGUAAACUUUGGAGGGGGGGCACCNNNNNNNNNNNNNNNNNNNNNNNNNNNNNNNNNNNNNNNNNNNNNNNNNNNNNNNNNNNNNNNNNNNNNNNNNNNNNNNNNNNNNNNNNNNNNNNNNNNNNNNNNNNNNNNNNNNNNNNNNNNNNNNNNNNNNNNNNNNNNNNNNNNNNNNNNNNNNNNNNNNNNNNNNNNNNNNNNNNNNNNNNNNNNNNNNNNNNNNNNNNNNNNNNNNNNNNNNNNNNNNNNNNNNNNNNNNNNNNNNNNNNNNNNNNNNNNNNNNNNNNNNNNNNNNNNNNNNNNNNNNNNNNNNNNNNNNNNNNNNNNNCCAAGGGGGAGUCCAAGUAGGAUUCGCCCCCCCCCUUCCUUCCAACGGAGAGGGGAAAGGGGAAAGGGGGAGAGGGAGAAGGAAAGGGGGGCCGCGCCCCCACCCCUUGUCCAAUUCGGUUUGGGCAAGGGGAGGCACGCGCCACCUCCUGUGGCAACCUUCCCUCCCUCCACUAUGGCCCAUGAGGCCCAUUAACUUUCCCGGGGGUUGCCGGUAACCUCCCGGUACUUCGAAAAAUACCCGAUCUUCUUCGGAACCAUUCCGGUGUCCGUAUAUAACCUUCCAAUAUAUGAAUCUUUACCUCUCAACCAUUUCGAGACUCCUCGUCAUGUCCGUGAUCUCAUCUGGGACUCCAAACAAACUUUGGUCACCAAAAUACAUAACUCAUAAUACAAAUCGUCAUCGAACGUGCGUGCGGACCCUACCGGUUCGAGAACUAUGUAGACAUGACCGAGACACAUCUCCGGUCAAUAACCAAUAGUGGAAUCAGGAUGCUCAUAUUGGCUCCUACAUAUUCUACGAAGAUCUUUAUCGGUCAAACCGCAUAACAUCAUACGUCAUCCCCUUUGUCAUCGGUAUGUUACUUGCUCGAGAUUCGAUCGUCGGUAUCCUCAUACCUAGUUCAAUAUCGUUACCGGCAAGUCUCUUUACUCGUUUCGUAAUGCAUCAUCCCUUAACUAACUCAUUAGUCACAUUGCUUGCAAGGCUUAUAGUGAUGUUCAUUACUGAGAGGGCCUAGAGAUACCUCUCCGAUACACGGAGUGACAAAUCCUAAUCUUGAUCUAUGACAACCCAACAAACACCUUAGGAGACACCUGUAGAGCAUAUUUAUAAUCACCCAAUUACGUUGUGAUGUUUGAUAGCACACAAGGUGUUCCUUCGGUGUUCGAGAGUUGCAUAAUCUCAUAGUCAGAGGAAUAUGUAUAAGUCAUGAAGAAAAUAAUAGCAAUAAAACUAAACGAUCAUAAUGCUAAGCUAACAGAUGGGUCUUGUCCAUCACAUCAUUCUCUAAUGAUGUGAUCCCGUUCAUCAAAUGACAACACAUGUCUAUGGUCAGGAAACUUAAACAUCUUUGAUUAACGAGCUAGUCAAGUAGAGGCAUACUAGGGACACUCUGUUUUGUCUAUGUAUUCACACAUGUACUAAGUUUCCGGUUAAUACAAUUCUAGCAUGAAUAAUAAACAUUUAUCAUGAUAUAAUUAAAUAUAAAUAACAACUUUAUUAUUGCCUCUAGGGCAUAUUUCCUUCAACUCAAACUAAAAAAAUUGCAUAAUGUAAAAGAAAGGCCCUCCGCGGAGGGAAGUAGGGAUUUGUAGAGGUGCCAGAGCUCAAAGCGAAAAAACUUAGAGAUAAAAUCAUUUUGAGAGGCAUGCUUUUCCCACCAACGAAAACGACUUAGAGUUCCCAACACUUUCCAUGCUAGAUAUAUCAUAGGCGGUUCCCAAACAGAAAAUAAAGUUUAUUCCUUUUUCCACCAUACUUUCACUUUCCAUGGCUAGCCGUAUCCACGGGUGCCUUCCAUACCAACACUUUUCAAGGAAUUUAUUAUUUUCCAACAUAAAGUAAAUUCAUUUUUCAUUUCGGGACUGGGCAUCCCUAAUACCUUAGCCUUACUCUCGUGCAAUGACAAGUGAAUAAACACUCAUCGUGAGAAUACCACAUCUAGCAUGGAAAAUAUUAGCCACCCCUCGCCGCCUCGCGAGCAGUACGAACACACAAAAGAGAAGUUUAUUUUGAAAAUUAGAGAGGGCACAUACAAAUUUGCUUAGAACGGCAAAAAGAAUACUACAUAUAGGUAGGUAUAGUGGACUCAUAUGUCAAAACUGGUUUAAAGGAUUUGGGAUGCACAAGUAGUGAUCAUACUUAGUGCUAAAUAAAGGCUAGCAAAAGAUUCAGAAGCGACCAACCAAGAAACGAAUAACCUCAUAAGCGAGCAUUAAGCAUAAUUAACACCGAAUAACUGUUGACUUUCGUGCAUAACUGUUGACUUUCGUGCUUGCAUAGGGAAUCACAAACCUUAACACCAAUAUUCUUACUAAAGCAUAAUUACUCAUCAACAUGACUCACAUAUCAUAUCAUCAUAUCUCAAAACUAUUACAAGGAAUCAAGUUUAUUUUGUCCAAUGAUCUUCAUGAACGUUUUUUAUUAUAUCCUUCUUGUAUAUCAAUCAAUUUGGGUCUAAUUUUCAUGUGCUGCUUUUGAUAAGCUCAAACAAAUAUAAGUGAAGAUCAUGAGCAUAAUAUUUCUUUCUCUCAAAUUAAUCUAAGUGAAGAAAGAGAGAAUUUCUUAAAAAAAUUACUAACUCUCAAAUAAAUCUAAGUGAAGCAUGAGAGCAUUUCUUCAAAAGUAACAAAGCACACCGUGCUCAAAAAGAUAUAAGUGAAGCACUAGAGCAAUUCCAUAGCUCAUAAAAAUUUAAGUGAAGCAUAGAGAGCAAUUCUAACAAGUCAUGGCAUAAUUUUGGCUCUCUCAAAUAGGUGUGUCCAGCAAGGAUUCAUGACUCAAAACAAAAGGCAAAGACUCAUAUCAUACAAGACGCUCCAAGCAAAACUCAUAGUAUGUGACAAAUAAAAAUAUAGCUUCGAGUAAAAUACCGAUGGUCGUUAGAAAAAAGAGGGGAUGCCACUCGGGGCAUCCCCAAUCUUAGUUGCUUGCUUCUCUUUGGAUAAUUGCUUGGGAUGUCAUGGGAAUCCCCAAGCUUAGACUUUUCUUACUCCUUAUUCCUUCAUCCAUCGUAAUAUCACCCAAAACUUGAAAACUUCAAUCACACAAAACUCAACAAAACCUUCGUGAGAUCCGUUAGUAUAAGAAAACAAAUCACUACUAUAAGUACUGUAUCAAACCAAUUCAUAUUUUAUUUUUGCAUUAUAUCUACUAUAUUCCAACUUUUCAAUGGCAAAAAAUCAUCAAAGAAAACCAUACAAUCAUCAAAACAAGCACACAGCGCAAAGAAAACAGAAUCUGUCAAAAACAGAACAGCCUGUAGCAAUCUUGAUAUUUCGAAUACUUAUGUAACUCCAAAAAUUCUGAAAAAUUAGGACCACGUGAACAAUUUGUAUAUUAAUCUUCUGCAAGAAAGAAUGAGUAUUUUAUCACGCUUCU